GAGGAAUAAAACAUGGGGCCUGUGAUUACUUAAUCAAGCCUGUACGCAUGGAAGAGUUGAAGAAUAUAUGGCAGCAUGUCAUUAGGAAAAAAUGCAAUGGAAACAAAGAACAAGAACAUUCAAGUAGCUUCGAGGAUUCUGACCGUCGACAACAUGCGGUUGAUGAUGUCGAUUAUUCAUCGUCAGUUAAUGAUGGCACUGAUGGUACCUGGAGAUCUCAUAAAAAGAAGAGAGAUGUCAAAGAAGAUGAAGAUGGUGAACUAGAAAAUGAGGAUCCUUCAGCACCAAAAAGGCCACGUGUUGUGUGGUCGGUGGAACUCCAUCAGCAAUUUGUCAGUGCUGUCAAUCAGCUCGGCAUUGAUAAGGCUGUCCCCAAGAGGAUUCUGGAAUUGAUGAAUGUUCCUGGUUUGACUAGAGAAAAUAUUGCAAGCCAUUUGCAGAAAUUCAGACUGUACUUGAAGAGAUUGCAUGGAGUAGCUCAACACCAUGGUGCAAUAUCUAAUUCCUUCUGUGGUUCUGUGGAAUCAAAUGCACAAGUGGGCCCAUUGGACAGACUUGAUUUCCAAGCACUGGCUGCUUCAGGCCAAAUCCCCCCACAAACUCUUGCUGCUUUGCAUGCAGAACUUCUAGGACGGCCUUCAGGUGGCCAAGUGUUUCCAGCAAUAAGCAAGCCGGUUCUUUUACAAGCUUCAGUUCAAGGACGUAAACAUAACCACAUAAAACCAGAGGUAGCAUAUGGUCAACCGCUUCUGAAAUCCCAAUCCAACAUAUCAAAACAGAUAUUUCAGGCUAACUUUGCUGUUGAAGACAUGUCUUCUGGAUGUUCGAUGUGGUCCUCUGAU
rnacentral:misc_RNA from 1 species